rnacentral:rRNA from 1 species
AACGAACGCUGGCGGCAUGCCUAACACAUGCAAGUCGAACGAGACCUUCGGGUCUAGUGGCGCACGGGUGCGUAACGCGUGGGAACCUGCCCUUAGGUUCGGAAUAACUCCCCGAAAGGGGUGCUAAUACCGGAUAAUGUCUUCGGACCAAAGAUUUAUCGCCUUUGGAUGGGCCCGCGUUGGAUUAGCUAGUUGGUAGGGUAAAAGCCUACCAAGGCGACGAUCCAUAGCUGGUCUGAGAGGAUGAUCAGCCACACUGGGACUGAGACACGGCCCAGACUCCUACGGGAGGCAGCAGUGGGGAAUAUUGGACAAUGGGCGAAAGCCUGAUCCAGCAAUGACGCGUGAGUGAUGAAGGCCUUAGGGUUGUAAAGCUCUUUUACCCGGGAUGAUAAUGACAGUACCGGGAGAAUAAGCUCCGGCUAACUCCGUG